UGGGGGCGUGCUUAGCACAUGCAAGUCGAACGAUGAUGCCCAGCUUGCUGGGUGGAUUAGUGGCGAACGGGUGAGUAACACGUGAGUAACCUGCCCCUGACUCUGGGAUAAGCGUUGGAAACGACGUCUAAUACUGGAUAUGAUCACUGGCCGCAUGGUCUGGUGGUGGAAAGAUUUUUUGGUUGGGGAUGGACUCGCGGCCUAUCAGCUUGUUGGUGAGGUAAUGGCUCACCAAGGCGACGACGGGUAGCCGGCCUGAGAGGGUGACCGGCCACACUGGGACUGAGACACGGCCCAGACUCCUACGGGAGGCAGCAGUGGGGAAUAUUGCACAAUGGGCGAAAGCCUGAUGCAGCAACGCCGCGUGAGGGAUGACGGCCUUCGGGUUGUAAACCUCUUUUAGUAGGGAAGAAGCGAAAGUGACGGUACCUGCAGAAAAAGCACCGGCUAACUACGUGCCAGCAGCCGCGGUAAUACGUAGGGUGCAAGCGUUGUCCGGAAUUAUUGGGCGUAAAGAGCUCGUAGGCGGUUUGUCGCGUCUGCUGUGAAAUCCCGAGGCUCAACCUCGGGCUUGCAGUGGGUACGGGCAGACUAGAGUGCGGUAGGGGAGAUUGGAAUUCCUGGUGUAGCGGUGGAAUGCGCAGAUAUCAGGAGGAACACCGAUGGCGAAGGCAGAUCUCUGGGCCGUAACUGACGCUGAGGAGCGAAAAGCAUGGGGAGCGACAGGAUUAGAUACCCUGGUAGUCCCAGCCGUAAACGUUGGGCGCUAGAUGUAGGGACCUUUCCACGGUUUUCUGUGUCGUAGCUAACGCAUUAAGCGCCCCGCCUGGGGAGUACGGCCGCAAGGCUAAAACUCAAGGGAAUUGACGGGGGCCCGCACAAGCGGCGGAGCAUGCGGAUUAAUUCGAUGCA
rnacentral:rRNA from 1 species